AGGGUUAACCUCCUCCUUAGCUUCCUCCAGCUUUUCCCUAAUCCAACCACAGGGGUCAGCAGCUUCUGUCCAUUGGUUGGGUGUAAAUAUCUGCAGUUGACUCUUUCAGCUGCUUGUUGGGUCUUUUGGAGGACAGCCAUGGUAGGUCACAGGACAGCUUUUAAGAAUCAAAUCUGUCUUCCAUAUAGGUCUCAAGAAUCAGGCUUAGGUUGUCCUGCCUUAAGCCAUCUGGGUGGCCUGACCUUACACUUAUUUUUGAUCACUAAUUAACCAACUCUGGCACAACCAGUGAUUAAGAACCAAUCACUGCUUUAAAGAUAGCCAAGGGGCACGGUGGUUCACAUUCUGUGAGCAAUCAAUGACAAAAGAAAA
rnacentral:lncRNA from 1 species